CCUACGGGAGACAGCAGUGGGGAAUAUUGCACAAUGGGGGAAACCCUGAUGCAGCGACGCCGCGUGAGUGAAGAAGUAUUUCGGUAUGUAAAGCUCUAUCAGCAGGGAAGAAGAAAGACGGUACCUGACUAAGAAGCCCCGGCUAACUACGUGCCAGCAGCCGCGGUAAUACGUAGGGGGCAAGCGUUAUCCGGAUUUACUGGGUGUAAAGGGAGCGUAGACGGCUGUGCAAGUCUGAAGUGAAAGCCCAGGGCUCAACCCUGGGACUGCAUUGGAAACUGUGGAGCUAGAGUGCUGGAGAGGUAAGUGGAAUUCCUAGUGUAGCGGUGAAAUGCGUAGAUAUUAGGAGGAACACCAGUGGCGAAGGCGACUUACUGGACAGUAACUGACGUUGAGGCUCGAAAGCGUGGGGAGCAAACAGGAUUAGAUACCCCUGUAGUC
rnacentral:rRNA from 1 species